rfam:Parcubacteria bacterium GW2011_GWA2_38_13 TS74_C0016, whole genome shotgun sequence.
AAUUCAUUAGCAUUCCAUGAUGCUUCAAUUUCAUUGAAGCCAGUUAGGAAAAUCCGGUGCUUUCCUUAAAGUUUUUCAGGGAAAAAAUCCGGUGCUGUGCCGCAGCUGUAAUUCCGCCCAAGGCGGAUAAGCCAGAACACUGACGUAUCGUGGGAUAUAAACAUCC